GAUGAACGCUAGCGGCAGGCUUAACACAUGCAAGUCGAGGGGCAGCAUAAAUAGUAGCAAUACUAUUGGUGGCGACCGGCGGACGGGUGCGUAACGCGUAUACAACCUUCCCUAAACAGGGGGAUAAUCUGGAGAAAUUCGGUCUAAUACCCCAUAACAUCAGAGCAGGCAUCUGUUUUGGUUAAAAUUUCCGGAGGUUUAGGAUGGGUGUGCGCAGCAUUAGCUAGUUGGUGAGGUAACGGCUCACCAAGGCGACGAUGCUUAGGGGGACUGAGAGGUUAACCCCCCACACUGGUACUGAGACACGGACCAGACUCCUACGGGAGGCAGCAGUGAGGAAUAUUGGUCAAUGGGCGGAAGCCUGAACCAGCCAUGCCGCGUGCAGGAUGACGGCUCUAUGAGUUGUAAACUGCUUUUGUACGAGGGUAAAGUGGGCUACGUGUAGCCUUUUGAAAGUAUCGUACGAAUAAGGAUCGGCUAACUCCGUGCCAGCCGCCGCAGUAA
rnacentral:rRNA from 1 species